AAUGUUUUCAUCAAAAUAUCUGCUCAGAUUCUCAUCAAAGACUGUGAACAGUGGUCGCUGACCUGGCAGGUUAUCAUCCACUUCCCAGGAUUCUCGGCUAUCAUUUCUGUUGUGCCAGGACACAGAUUCUCCAACACACAUAUCAGGCUCCGGGAAGUUUCCGAAGAGGUAUCCAUUGAGGGCUGGAAACAGAAACACGCUAGUGGAAGAGACUCCCCUGCAGAGGCGACUGGGACCAGAAAUGUUGAGAAAACACUCAAUAAAAGUGAAGAUCAGCAUACACUGAGAACAGCCUCGGAGCUGCUGUGGGAACGCAAUAUGAGGUCAGGAGAAAACAGAGUGCUGCUCAUAUUUACAGGAGGCUCAGUCACCUUCUGUCAUAAUCCUUCACUGGCAUAUCUGCUGUCUUCACCAGAUUCUGUGCUCCUUGGAACUAGAAACCCUGUCUUGUUCAUCUUAACAGUUAUCAGGACCUAGCAGAAAAACUGGCACAUAGUAUCUACUUAAUGAAGUGACAAAAGCAUGUAGUAAGAUGGAAAGAAAAGGAAUUGAUUAAAAGGAAUUUAUGAGAACUGUUUUGUUUGUUUGUUUGUUUACUUUAAAAAGCCAAGAGAAAAACAGUUUUUACUACAUGUUGCUGGAG
rnacentral:lncRNA from 1 species